rnacentral:rRNA from 1 species
UACGUAGGGGGCGAGCGUUGUCCGGAUUUAUUGGGCGUAAAGAGCGUGUAGGCGGCCAGGUAGGUCUGCUGUGAAAACUCGAGGCUCAACCUCGAGACGUCGGCGGAAACCAUCUGGCUAGAGUCCGGAAGAGGAGAGUGGAAUUCCUGGUGUAGCGGUGAAAUGCGCAGAUAUCAGGAAGAACACCCGUGGCGAAGGCGGCUCUCUGGGACGGUACUGACGCUGGAGACGCGAAAGCGUGGGGAGCGAACAGG